CCGUAGGUGAACCUGCGGAAGGAUCAUUACCGAGUGUAGGGUUCCUAGCGAGCCCAACCUCCCACCCGUGUUUACUGUACCUUAGUUGCUUCGGCGGGCCCGCCAUUCAUGGCCGCCGGGGGCUCUCAGCCCCGGGCCCGCGCCCGCCGGAGACACCACGAACUCUGUCUGAUCUAGUGAAGUCUGAGUUGAUUGUAUCGCAAUCAGUUAAAACUUUCAACAAUGGAUCUCUUGGUUCCGGCAUCGAUGAAGAACGCAGCGAAAUGCGAUAACUAGUGUGAAUUGCAGAAUUCCGUGAAUCAUCGAGUCUUUGAACGCACAUUGCGCCCCCUGGUAUUCCGGGGGGCAUGCCUGUCCGAGCGUCAUUGCUGCCCAUCAAGCACGGCUUGUGUGUUGGGUCGUCGUCCCCUCUCCGGGGGGGACGGGCCCCAAAGGCAGCGGCGGCACCGCGUCCGAUCCUCGAGCGUAUGGGGCUUUGUCACCCGCUCUGUAGGCCCGGCCGGCGCUUGCCGAACGCAAAUCAAUCUUUUUCCAGGUUGACCUCGGAUCAGGUAGGGAUACCCGCUGAACUUAAGCAUAUCAAUAAGCGGAGGAAG
rnacentral:rRNA from 1 species